UCAGGGUAUUUUUGAGCCUGAAAAGUUUUGAGCUGCCUGCUACGUGUGAGGGACGUGUCACUGCUGGCACUGAUACUUGUUUAGGGCUUCUCUCCAGCUUGCCAGAGAUGUGCAGUCAGAAAUAAAGAGCAACUCAGCAGAAAGCAGUACACGAAGUGCAUAAGAGGCCCCUUCAUCUGCUGCAGGGGGAGUGAGAGGAUGCUGCACAGAUAAAGCUGUGAUCUCUGAUAGAUGGAUAGAUGGAAAAUGCUGCAAAUGUCCAUCCGUCCACUGGUAUGUUCUCAUGUCCAUAUUCUAGAUAUAAGCGUUUCAUUGGUCACAUUUACAGAUUUGUUUGUUUCUCAUGUGUGUUUUCUUCCUAUUAUUAUUUUUUGUUGCUCUCUUUUCUGUCUUCUAUGGCACUACAAUUAUGUUCAGUAUACCAGGAAGAAGAAAAGCACAGAUACUCACCAGUCCUGGUGAUACAAUGGUUAUUUUGGACCACAAUAAUUAAAUGUUUCCUCCAGAGUUAAGAAAUGUCAUUCAUGUUUUCUUUUGCUGUUUUGGGACUCCACUUGAGGGUGUGGGGGCUUUUUCAGAUUAUUUUUAAAUAUAGGCUGUCUGAAAUUUCUCAUCUUUGGCUAUUAGCUCAUGAAACACAGAUUUUAGGUAGAUUACUGUAACUGUGAGCCAGUGUAUGUUUUCCACUUGCUUAUUUUUUCCCCUCUAGUUAUUUAUGUACUACCACAAUAAAUGUACUUGCCAAGUAAUGCA
ensembl:lncRNA